rnacentral:rRNA from 1 species
GACGAACGCUGGCGGCGUGCUUAACACAUGCAAGUCGAACGGAAAGGCCCUGCUUUUGUGGGGUGCUCGAGUGGCGAACUGGUGAGUAACACGUGAGUAACCUGCCCUUGACUUUGGGAUAACUUCAUGAAACUGGGGCUCAUACCGGAUAGGAGCUCCUGCUGCAUGGUGGGGGUUGGAUAGUUUCGGCGGUUGGGGAUGGACUCGCGGCUUAUCAGCUUGUUGGUGGGGUAGUGGCUUACCAAGGCUUUGACGGGUAGCCGGCCUGGGAGGGUGACCGGCCACAUUGGGACGGAGAUAAGGCACAGACUACUACGGGAGGCAGCAGUGGGGAAUAUUGCACAAUGGGCGGAAGCAUGAUGCAGCAACGCAGCGUGCGGGAUGACGGCCUUCGGGUUGGAAACCGCUUUCGCCUGUGACGAAGUGUGAGUGACGGUAAUGGGUAAAGAAGCACCGGCUAACUACGUG